CGGUCCUCGCGGCCCCGCCCCCAUUACCUCAGCCCUCUCCCCGAUCCAAUCUCUCUCCCGAAAAAUCGCCAUCGCCGGCCUACCACUCCUCUUCUGCCCCAUGGGCGCUAGCGAAUGGGAGCCAACCACCCGAAGCGACCGGAGCGACGAGCGGAGGAGGAAGGGAAAGAUGGCGGGGCGGCGGCGGGGAAGGAGUCGUUGCGGGCGGCGGGCAUCCUGACUGAUCAAGCACGAGGGGUCCCGGCGCAGGGCGUCCUGGAAGAACCCCGAGGGUCGAGUCAUCUCCGCCACCACGGCCACCGCGCGCCUCGGCGAGCUCCGCGACUAAUCCUCGCCGGUCGCGCUUCCUUUGCGGACCUCGAAGCCGCCGUCCCGGUAGAUCGUGCUGCACCAUCUCCUUUCGCAUCGAGCGCCGCCGUCCCGUAUCCUAUCUCCCUGACCCGACCCAUGCCACAUCUCCUAUCCUUUCUCUCUCCCCUAUCGAACCUGUGCCGGUGUGCGCGCAUCUCCCGCCAGCGCAUGUGGCGCCAUGCCAUCAUGGUGACAGAUGAGGUCGGGCCCCGGUGCAAAGAAUGGCCACAGUUGCGCAGUCCCACGUUGGUGGCCGUCGCCUGCGGAGUAUAGCAGAGGAGCGUGUGGAUCAGGGAAGCGGGCGGAGUUUCGGCAGCACUGCAGCCGUCGUUCUCUGACCUGUUCUCGGAACGUGUUAACCUGCUUUCUGAUCUAACUGACGGUGCAAGUAGUCAUUUAACUGCAGGUCAGCACAUAUCUAUGUCCAUUUAACUGGUGGCGCACUGGUCCUCCUGGGCAGCAUCGCAGUCGGUGACCCUGCCGAGUGGCGUGGUGGAGCGGCCCUUGGCCGGCUAGCACAUCACGAGCGGCUGUGGCGUGUGAAAUCCUUAAGGAUUGUAACCGUCAGGGGAAUAGAUAAGAGACCAUGUCUGUUUGACCUUUUGGUACUGUGUUUUAUACAGAAUGGCAAGGAUAGGCCAAAAAUCAUGGAUAUGUUAUAUAGUCCUUGUUCAUACUUGGGGACUCCAGUAUGAUGGAUUGUGCUUGCUAACGAUACUAUUCUUUCUUGUAUUGCAGAUUAUCAAGACAUUCCUGAUCACAUUAAACCAGCAUAGUAAGCUAUCAGAUUUCUUAGUUACACUGACGUAAGUACAACUAUUGGUCAUACUUCGCCCAUGGAGUUGGAUGAAGCAGGUUACACUGGUGGCAGAGAUCUCAUAGCAUGUGUGCACGGUACCACCCAUAGUGAAUCAUCAGUAACUAAGGCAGCCAGACCCACCAGAUUUCAGAGAAAGGUACAAAACAAACCUAUAAGCAUGCUAAAGGCAUCAAUGGAUAUAUAUACGAGGUAUGAACAUGACAAUUGAUGAAGGCCGUGAUGGUGGUAUAUGCACACGUGGGAGUUGGCUUAUUGAUCUCCCAGCAAUUGGGAAUGAUAAAUGGUGAAGGCUUUUAUGCAAGUUCUGUCCUUAGUAGGUACUUAAAUAUCGUGAUCAUUGUGUUGUCCCUUCCUAACAAUUCUGCAUCAUAUCGAUUGGCAUUAUGCAGGUUUGUGAUACACUACUUUCCAUAAAUCCUGUUGAGCGCUAAGAUUUUUUUGUAACCAUGAUCAUUUGAGAUUCUCUUUACAUUGUUUGCCGCCAUCCUCAUGGAUAUGAGUGAAGAAGGAUUCUACUAAACUUGUCGAGCUGAUGCAUAUGAAGACAAAGUAUUAAGUAGGAUUUCGUUUUGAGAAUCUUUUUUUAUCCGAUCUACACAUCUGGAACAUUCCCGAGCUUCCUUCUCACAUGAAUAUCAUAUAUCUAUAGGUAACAGCAUAUUUGUGAACCGUAGUGAUAGAAAUUGAUCAUGGGAGACUAGCAUGCUAUCACAAGUUGAUGUUAAAAAGAAAAGCAGUGGCAAGGAAAACUUAUUUUGUUUGCUGUUUGUGUAUGUAACCUGAACGCUAAAUGAUGUUUUAGGCACAUUGUCUAUUCUCGUAAUAUGUUGCCGCAUUGGCCCUUUCCAACAUCAUGGUAAGGAGUGUGUCACUCAUGUAUCUGCAUUGUAUUCUGUUUUUUAGGGCCAUUGUAUUUUGUUGUAGUAUGGUUCUAAUGAUUUAAAAAAAUGUAUCUUCUGAAUGUGAUAUUCACUUGGAGUAUGGCUCCAAUGAGUUUCGAAAUCAUUAUCUUUUGAAUGUUGACCAACCAUCCAAUCUGAUGAAGAUUUUCACUUUGUGAAACCAUGAUUGAUGUGUAGAAUUUAUGUUGUAGUAGAAUAUCCUUUUUUUAUAUGUAUAUUUUCAAAAACAAUGGGGUUUUGGAUAGCUUUUUUUUUGCAGAAUGCUAAAACUGAAAAUCAUGACAAGCCUUGUGCCCAUACACCAAUAAAGGCUGGUUAAGAGAAAUGCUAUUACUAUGCACUCAUCGAACACUAUGGUGGCCAUGCAUUCUCUGCUUGGACGUGAUCUAAGAUACAUCUUACAACCUAGCAACAUUAUCUUUUCCU